GGUCAAGCUAUAAAGGGCGCAAGGUGAAUGCCUUGGCACUGGGAGCCGAUGAAAGACGUGGUAAGCUGCGAUAAGCCUUGGGGAGGAGCAAACAUCCUUUGAUCCAGGGAUUUCUGAAUGAGGAAACUCAACGAGGUUCAUACUUCGUUAUCAUGUACUGAAUCCAUAGGUACAUGAGGGGAACCGCCUGAACUGAAACAUCUAAGUAGGGCGAGGAAGAGACAUCAAACGAGAUUCCGUUAGUAGUGGCGAGCGAACGCGGAAGAGGGCAAACCGAGAGUGGAAACACUUUCGGGGUACGGACUGCUUUUAGGAUCUGCAAAGGUUAGUCGAAAGGUAUGGGAAGGCCUGCCGAAGAGUGUGAGAGCCACGUAGACGAAAACCCUAGCAGCUGCGCAGUAUCCAGAGUACGGCCAGACACGUGAAACCUGGUCGGAACACGGGGGGACCACCCUCCAACCCUAAAUACUACCCAGUGACCGAUAGCGCAUAGUACUGUGAAGGAAAGGUGAAAAGGACCCCGGGAGGGGAGUGAAACAGAACCUGAAACCUUGUGCCUACAAGCACAUAGAGCCCGUCAACGGGUGAUAUGGUACUUUUUGUAGAACGGUCCGGCGAGCGAUUGUACGUUGCGAGCUUAAGGUGCUGGAGCACCGGAGGCGUAGCGAGAGCGAGUCUGAAUAGGGCGUUUAGUAGCGUGCAAUGGGCCCGAAACCGGGUGACCUACCCAUGAUCAGGCUGAAGUGAAAGUAAAAUUUCAUGGAGGGCCGAACCGACCUCCGUUGAAAAGGCGGCGGAUGAAUUGUGGGUAGCGG
rnacentral:rRNA from 1 species